GCAUGGGUUUGGAUUUAUGGCAGGCCCUUCCCCGUGGGCCUCUCAUAGUGUCCCAUGCCAGAGCAAACUGUAGCCCUGAACCAUUGCCUGGCCUUGUCCAUAGGCCUCCGCACUGAAGGGGGCUGCCCAGUG
ensembl:snoRNA